rnacentral:rRNA from 1 species
AUUGAACGCUGGCGGCAUGCCUUACACAUGCAAGUCGAACGGCAGUACGGGUGCUUGCACCUGGUGGCGAGUGGCGAACGGGUGAGUAAUACAUCGGAACGUACCUUAUCGUGGGGGAUAACGCAGCGAAAGCUGUGCUAAUACCGCAUACGCCCUGAGGGGGAAAGCGGGGGAUCGAAUGACCUCGCGCGAUUAGAGCGGCCGAUGCCUGAUUAGCUUGUUGGUGGGGUAAAAGCCCACCAAGGCGACGAUCAGUAGCUGGUCUGAGAGGACGAUCGGCCACACUGGGACUGAGACACGGCCCAGACUCCUACGGGAGGCAGCAGUGGGGAAUUUUGGACAAUGGGGGCAACCCUGAUCCAGCAAUGCGGCGUGAGUGAAGAAGGCCUUCGGGUUGUAAAGCUCUUUUGUCAGGGAAGAAACACCGGCUCUAACACAGUCCGGGAAUGACGGUACCUGAAGAAUAAGCACCGGCUAACUACGUGCCAGCCGCCGCCGUAA